rnacentral:rRNA from 1 species
UGGGGAAUUUUGGACAAUGGGCGAAAGCCUGAUCCAGCAAUGCCGCGUGUGUGAAGAAGGCCUUCGGGCUGUAAAGCACUUUUGUCCGGAAAGAAAUCCUUGGCUCUAAUACAGUCGGGGGAUGACGUACCGGAAGAAUAAGCACCGGCUAACUACGUGCCAGCAGCCGCGGUAAUACGUAGGGUGCAAGCGUUAAUCGGAAUUACUGGGCGUAAAGCGUGCGCAGGCGGUUUGCUAAGACCGAUGUGAAAUCCCCGGGCUCAACCUGGGAACUGCAUUGGUGACUGGCAGGCUAGAGUAUGGCAGAGGGGGGUAGAAUUCCACGUGGUAGCAGUGAAAUGCGUAGAGAUGUGGAGGAAUACCGAUGGCGAAGGCAGCCCCCUGGGCCAAUACUGACGCUCAUGCACGAAAGCGUGGGGAGCAAAACAGGAUUAGAUACCCUGGUAGUCCACGCCCUAAACGAUGUCAACUAGUUGUUGGGGAUUCAUUUCCUUAGUAACGUAGCUAACGCGUGAAGUUGACCGCCUGGGGGAGUACGGUCGCAAGAUUAAAACUCAAAUGAAUUAGACGGGGUCAUAG